rnacentral:rRNA from 1 species
UACGAAGGGAGCUAGCGUUGUUCGGAAUCACUGGGCGUAAAGCGCACGUAGGCGGAUGUGUCAGUCAGGGGUGAAAUCCCGGAGCUCAACUUCGGAACUGCCCUUGAUUACAGCACGUCUUGAGUCCGGAAGAGGUGGGUGGAAUUCCUAGUGUAAGAGGUGAAAUUCGUAGAUAUUAGGAAGAACACCGGUGGCGAAGGCGGCCCACUGGUCCGGUACUGACGCUGAGACGCGAAAGCGUGGGGGAGCGAAACAGG